GUCUGUACUUACCAUGACAGUUACUGCAGAACAAGUGCUGUUCCAAAUGAUUUUUCAGCAAAAGGUCAUCUUAUCAGAUGCUAGGCAUUUAGUUCUGUGUAUGUUUUUCUGCUUUGACUACGAUUGUGAAAAUGAGGCUGUUUCUGUCCAGUAGAAACCUUUGAAAGACUGUGUUAUGAGUCUAAACUUGACAAUCUACCUGUUAAAACAGUAAAAAUGACUUUUCUGGUUUUUAAUUUAGAAACCUUUUUCUCGGCCAUGACUCCUAAAUAAAAAUCCUUCGAAAUAACAUUUCUAACCUCUGCAGAUUAUAAAAAUAAUAUAUGAUCAUUGUAAAAAACUUACAAUACACAAAAAAUAUAAGUAAAUUUUCAGUGGUUUUACAAAUACACCUUUAGUAAGUUUUUAAUAACCUUCAAUGUAAGUAUUAAUAAUGUCACAAUAGAGAAAUUUACAGAUGACAAUACAUCACCAGAAUUACAUUUAGAUACCUCAAAUGUAAAUAUGGUUGAGGCAUUGUAGCCCCUGAACUGAAAAUAGUUGGAUAAAUACUCAAAUUUGGAUAGCAGAAGUACUGCUUAAAAAAAAAAAAAAAAAGCUCUCACCAUCAUUAUUUU
rnacentral:lncRNA from 10 species